UGGCAGGAUCAACCAGGUAGCAUUCCUCUUCGACGUCGUCGAUCGCACACGAACGAGUCGACGUGCGAACGACGGUCGUUUUGGAGAAGCGAGAACGCUCGAUAAGGGUAACACAAGGCCGCAAGAGCCCCGUACCCGAUUAAGGUUCCGCAUCCAAGAGACCAAGCGAUGCUCGAUGAGCCACUUCGCCAACGCUACAGCAUUGGUAAGACGGAGCACAGAGACCGCUUCGAGGUUCACCCCACGUCGUGUGCACGACGCAUGAUGAAAAGGGACAUUGAUAUCACGAUGUAAUUCCGUCAAAUAGGUAUACAACACAGAAAACCCGUCGGAUGCGCAAGGAAGAACCUUGCCGCACAACUGAAAAGGCAUGCCCGGGUGGACGUCGCUGCGCAAGCAGAAGUCCAACCACCCGUAACACGCCAAACACCACUCACGCACCUUUACGGUCGACAUUCCCUAGAAUCACUCAAACGUCCCUGCCACUUGUGAGGCACGAAUGCCAAACAAGCAACAAGAAGCCGAAGCAACCCCCAGAAUGC
rnacentral:misc_RNA from 1 species